GACGAACGCUGGCGGCGUGCUUAACACAUGCAAGUCGAACGGAAAGGCUCCAGCUUGCUGGCGUACUCGAGUGGCGCACGGGUGAGUAACACGUGGGUAAUCUGCCCUGCACUCUGGGAUAAGCCUUGGAAACUGGGCCUCAUACUGGAUAUGACCUUUCUCCUUAUGGGGUUUGGUGGAAAGUUUUUCGGUGUUGGAUGAGUCCGCGGCCUAUCGGCUUGCUGGUGGUGGGAUGGCCUCCCAAGGCGAAGCCGGGUAGCCGUCCUGAGCAGGGGAUCGGCGACAAGGGGACUGAGGUAGGCAGCAGUCGGCUACGGGAGGCAGCAGGGGGGAACAUGGCGCAAUGGGCGGAAGCCUGAUGUAGCGACGUUGCGUGCGUGAUACCCGCUUACGGGUUAUAAACCACUUUCAGCAGAGACGAAGCGGAAGUGACGGUACCUGCAGAAGAAGCACCGGCUAACUACGUG
rnacentral:rRNA from 1 species